CCUACGGGAGGCAGCAGUGAGGAAUUUUCCGCAAUGGGCGAAAGCCUGACGGAGCGACGCCGUGUGUGCGAUGAAGUCCUUCGGGAUGUAAAGCACUGUCAGAGGGGACGAUAAUGACGGUACCCUCAGAGGAAGGCCCGGCUAACUACGUGCCAGCAGCCGCGGUAAUACGUAGGGGCCAAGCGUUGUCCGGAAUCAUUGGGCGUAAAGGGCGUGUAGGCGGUCUGAUAAGUCAGAUGUUAAAUCUACGAGCUAAACUCGUAGCCGCAUCUGAUACUGUCAGGCUAGAGAAUGGUAGAGGAAAGCGGAACUUCCGGCGUAGCGGUAAAAUGCGUAGAUAUCGGGAGGAACACUCAUGGCGAAGGCAGCUUCCUGGGCCAGCACUGACACUGAGGCGCGAAAGCGUGGGGAGCAAACAGGAUUAGAUACCCUGGUAGU
rnacentral:rRNA from 1 species